rnacentral:rRNA from 1 species
UACGUAGGUGGCAAGCGUUGUCCGGAUUUACUGGGCGUAAAGAGCGCGCAGGCGGUCGUGCAAGUCGCGUGUGAAAGCCCCCGGCUCAACUGGGGAGGGUCACGCGAUACUGCUCGACUCGAAGGCAGGAGAGGGAAGUGGAAUUCCCGGUGUAGUGGUGAAAUGCGUAGAUAUCGGGAAGAACAUCGGUGGCGAAAGCGCUCUACUGGACGGUAUCUGACACUGAGGGACGAAAGCUAGGGGAGCGAAUGGG